AAACUCGGGCUAAUACCGCAUAUGUCCUACGGGAUAAAGCAGGGGACCUUCGGGCCUUGCGCUAAAAGAUGAGCUCGCGUUAGAUUAGCUUGUUGGUGGGGUAAAAGCCUACCAAGGCAACGAUCUAUAGCUGGUCUGAGAGGAUGAUCAGCCACACUGGGACUGAGACACGGCCCAGACUCCUACGGGAGGCAGCAGUGGGGAAUAUUGGACAAUGGGGGCAACCCUGAUCCAGCAAUUCCGCGUGUGUGAAGAAGGCCUUCGGGUUGUAAAGCACUUUCAGUAGGGAAAAUGGGAUUUUAUAUUAAUAGUAUAGAGUCUUGAUGUUAUCUACAGAAGAAGCACCG
rnacentral:rRNA from 1 species